CUGGAGGUUAAAACACUCCGAUUCUCUGCAAGAGUUCAGGAGGGAAAGACGACCUCUGUGUCUCUGCAGCAUGAUGAUUGGCAAAAAUCCAAAAUGUCUGUGCACACUGCUGGUGAGGCUAUGGUAAAACAAUUACAUAUUUCUGGUUGGUGUGUCCUUGUGAAGUGAAAUUUGGCAGUAAGUAACAAAAUUACUCAUGCAUUUCCCACGGAUCAGCAUCUCCACUUGACAUAAAAUAAAUGCUAGAGAUACACAUCUACAGUAUGACCUCAUCACUCCACCAGCAAGAAGUAGAGUCUGAUUCCUUUCUUGAAUCUGGACUGAUCUCAGUGACUCAUUUGUCAUCAUAGACUGAGGCAGACAUGACACUGCAUGACUUCAGAGGGUAUGUCAGAAGAAGACUUGCAUUCUAUGCUUUCAUCUCUUCUCACUGUCUGGUUGUUUCCUCUCAGAACAUGUCCUGUAGGAACCCAGCCAUCAGGCUGUGAGAAGCCCAUGACCCAUGGGCAGGCCAUGGGUAGGUGCUCCAGUUGAUAGUCUCAGCAGAGCUCAGCUUUUGCAUUAUCCAGCUCUAAGGACCAGACAUAUUAAUGAAGGAGAGUCCAGAUGAUUCCAGCUACUUAGCAUUCAAGUCACCGCCUAGUCAGUCCAGUCCUCCUAGCUGAGAUGCAACUAUCAUGGAGCAGAAAGAAGAUACCCCUACUCUGCUUGACCUUCAGAAUUCAUGAGCAUAAUAAAACAGUUGCUGUUUUAUGUCACUAAAUUUGAGGUGUUUAUUAUGCAGUAACAGAUAAAUAGAGCACAGACCUUGGGCAAUUUAUUUAAUUCUUCUGUGCCUUAGUUCAUUCUGUAAAAUGGGGAUGUAAUUGUACUUACCUUAAAGGGUUGUCAUUAAAAUUAAAUGAGCAAAUGCAUGUACAGCACUUAGAAUAGUUCUUGAGACAUAGCAAGGACUCAGUAAUUGCUGUUAAAUAGAGAACAGUUAGGAGCUAAAGGAAUUAAGAGGAGGAGGAGCUGAUAUAGUUGAAUCUGUCACCAAGGAGACCUAACUUGGGCUGAGUCCCAAAGGGUGAGUAUUUUCAAUAUGCAGAGGUUGUCAAGGAGAUUGGAAGGCUAUGUGCUUAAGCACAUGAACCCCAAAGUAGGACUGGCAUAUCGGUGG
rnacentral:lncRNA from 1 species